rnacentral:tRNA from 1 species
GUCUCUGUGGCCCAAAUCGCUUAGCGCUUUUGGCUGUUAACUGAAAGGUUGGUGGUUUGAGCCCACCCAGGGAUC